rnacentral:rRNA from 1 species
GACGAACGCUGGCGGCGUGCCUAAUACAUGCAAGUCGAACGCAGUGGGGACGGGUGAGUAACACGUGGGUAACCUCCCAUCAGAGGGGAUAACACUUGGAAACAGGUGCUAAACCGAUACUGAUGGAUGGACCCGCGGUGCAUUAGCUAGUGGGUGAGGUAACGGCUCACCAAGGCCACGAUGCAUCGCCGACCUGAUAGGGUGAUCGGCCACCAUGGUACUGUGACACGGCCCAGCAUCCUGCGGGAGGCAGCAGUAGGGAUGCGUCGGCAGUGGACGAAAUUCUGACCGAGCAACGCCGCGUGAGUGAAGAAGUUUUUCGGAUCUUAAAACUCUGUUGUUAGAGAAGCGGUAUCUAACCGGAAAGCCACGGCUAACUACGUGCCAGCAGCCGCGGUAAUUC